rnacentral:rRNA from 1 species
ACUUGUGCAUACAGCACCGUCGUUUCCAAGUUUGUUACGAAUGACCGGGUUGAUAAAAGUAAAGAAUGGAGUCCCAGGAGUUGCAGCAUUAUUGCUGCAAUACUGAAGCCCACCAACAAGCAAAUUGGGAAGAGCCUUGCAUGAAAAUCGGGGAGCAGUGCCGCCUGAAUUGUAGUUUGUAGAAGCAUCCUCAGCAGCAGACCUGGGCCAAGUCCCUUCAAAGGGGGUGCCUAAGAGGGUGACAGCCUCAUCAGGCCAGGAACCGGCCGCAUCAUGAGGUUUUGUUGGCGAGUCGGGUUGUUUGGGAAUGCAGCCCUAAAUGGGUUGUAAAUUUCGUCAAAGGCUAAAUAUGGGCGAGAGACCGAUAGCGAACAACUACUGCGAGGGAAAUAUGAAAAGGAAUUUGAAAAGAGAGUUAAAGAGUGCUUGAAAUUUCCAGGAGGGAAGUGGAUGGAGGUUCUCGAUGUGUCUCGGUUGGAUGUGGAAUGACUCAAGCUGGUAUGCCGCUCGACUUGAGGUGAAAAUCAACACAGGCUGCUGCAUCGUCACAAGCGCAGGUGGAUUACUACUUAUCGGUUUACUGGUUUGGUGGUCAAGGAAUGAAGCAUGCGCCCUUGUGGCGGGCCGUGUGCACCUGCAUAGUCGUGGUCUUGUUUGGUGGGCUUUCCAUUCGACCUAUCUUGAAACACAGACCAAGGAGUCUAACAUGUGUGUGAGUCGGCGAGUUUGAAAACCUGCGAUGCACAAGGAAGCUGAUGGGUGAGAUCCCCUCUUUGCGGGGGUGCAUCGUUCACUGAACUUGAGCUUAUGUGAAGGGUUCAAGUGUGAGCAUGCCUGUUGGGACCCAAAAGAUUUUGAACUAUGCCUGAGCAGGGUGAAGCUAGAGGAAAAUUUGGUGGAGGCUCAUAAUGACACCGACAUUCAUAUUGUUUGUCUGACUUGGGUAUAGGGGCAAAAGACUAAUUGAACCAUCUAGUAGUUGGUUUCUUCUGAAGUUUCCCUUAGGAUAGUUGGAGCUCACGUUCGAGUUUUAUCAAGUAAAGCAAAUGAUUAGAGGCAUCGAGGUCAUAAUUCCCUCAUCCUAUUCUCAAACUUUAAAUAGCUAAGGGGGUGUGGCUGCUCCAUUGAUUCGUGCCAUGGAAUCAAGAGCUUUAAGUGGACCAUUUUUUUGUAAGAAGAACUAGCGAUGCAGGAUGAACUGAAAGUCGAGUUAUGGUGUCAAAUUGUGCACUGACCUAGAUCCCACAAAGGGUGUUCAUUGAUUAAAACAGCAGGAUGAUGGUCAUGGAAGUCAAAAUCCACUAAGGAGUGUGCAACAACUCACCUACUGAAUCAAUUAGCCCCAAAAAUGGAUGGCACUAAAGCGCACAAUCUAUACUCAACCAUCAAAGCAAUUCCCUGGCUUCAAUGAGUAGGAGGAUGUAGUGGUUGUUGAGAAACCUCAGGCGUGAGCUUGGGUGGAUCUACCCUUCGUGCAGAUCUUGGUGGUAGUAGAAAAUAUUCAAAUGAGAACUUUGAAGAUUGAAGUGGGGAAAGGAUCCAUGUUAAUAACACUUGGACAUGGGUUAGUCAAUCCUAAGAGAUGGGGAAGCCUUGUAACAAGGGUGCAUUUUGUGUGAGCAUCGAAAGUGAAUUGGGUUAAUAUUCCUGAACAGGGACAUGACAACAGGUGACAACAUUAGGAAAUCUAGAGAUGUCAGUGGGGACCUCGCAAAGAGUUAUCUUUUCUUUUUAAUAGCUUUCCCACCCUUGAAUCAGUUCACCCGGUGAUAGGGUCUAGCAACUGGAAGAGCACCAGACGCCUUGCAGUGUCUGAUGCACCCUCGACGACCCUUGAAAAUUUGGAGGACUGAGUACCAUUCGUGUCCGGUCGUAUUCAUAACCACAUCAUGUCUCCAAGGUGAACAACCUCUAGUCAAUAAAACAAUGUAGAUAAGGGAAGUCGAAAAAAUGGAUCCAUAACUUCGGGAAAAGGAUUAACUUUCAGGGCUAGGCCUACGGGUCUGUGUCCUUAAAUCAUGGGCUGUUGGUAGUCUACCCAGGCUACUCUCAUGGUGGGGUAGGCAAUCGCGUGCCGAUUAGGGUACAGGUGUAGAAUGUCCUCUGCCAAUGGCUUUUCCAUAGGUGGGAAAUAUUUGACUCAGAACUACUAUGGACAAGGGGAAUAUGGAUAUUUAAUUGAAACAAAUAAUUGUGAUGGUCCUUGCAGAUGCUGACGCAAUGUGAUUUUUGCUCAGUGGUCUAAAUGUGAAAGUGAAGAAAUUCAACCAAGUGCGAGUAAACGACGAGAGUAACUAUGGAUCUCAUAAGGUAGCCAAAUGACUCGUCAUCUAAUUACUAACGUGCAUGAAUGGAUUAACGAGAUUCCCACUAUCCCUAUCUACUAUCUAGCAAAACCACAACCAAGGGAAUGGGCUUGGAAAAAUCAAUGGGGAAAGAAGAUCCUAUUGAGCUUGACUCUAGUUCGACUUUGUGAAAUGACCUCAGAGGGGUAGAAUAAGUGGGAGUUGUUUUUGGCGCAAGUGAAAUACUACUAAUUUUAUCGUUUUUUUACUUAUUCUGUGGAGCAGAGAUAGGGUGUUGCCCCUCUUUUUGGCCUUAAGGCAUGUUUCGGUGGGUCAAUUUGGUUGGAAGACAUUUUUAGGUGGGGAGUUUGGGUUGGGCGACACAUCUGUUAAAAUUUAACACAGGUUUUCUAAGAUGAGCUCAAUGAGAACAGAAAUCUCAUGUGGAACAAAAGGUAAAAUCUCAUUUGAUUUUGAUUUUUAGUACAAAUACAAAUAGUGAAAGCGUGGCGUAUCGAUCCUUUAGAUUUUCAGAAUUUGAAGCUAGAGGUGUUAGAAAAGUUACCACAGGGCUAACUGGCUUGUGGCAGUCAAGCAUUCUUAGUGACGUUGCUUUUUGAUCCUUCAAUGUUAGCUCUUCCUAUCAAUGUGAAUCAGAAUUCACCAACUGUUGGAUUGUUCACCCACUAAUAGGGAAUGUGAGCUAGGUUUAGACCAUCGUGAGACAAGUUAGUUUACUAGUCCAAAAUGGAUCUAUCAUAGACUUCUAUGUCCAAAACUCUUCCUCAUAAAGGAAAAUGAAAGUCAAAUGAUGGUCUUGGGAAUAGUCUUGGUGCGUAGAUCUUUUCAACCUGAAUCUACUACAAUUUGAAUGGAUAAGAAUGGACUCUGGAUGAAUGAUUUAUGGUGAAAAGGAGACUGCCCAUUAUCCUUAGAAAAGGAGGUAAUUUGUUAUAAAUGGAACUUAAGGGAAAAUGUGUUUUUAAACAUAAAAUCCCUUGAAGUUCAUCGCAUUUCAUUCCUUCAUCUUAUUUCAUAUAUGUUAUAAUGGAGCAUUAUUGU